CGGCCGGAGAAUGUCGGGCGCGCGGGGCGGUGGGCGCGUGGCCCCUCCCCUCAGCGGGCGCGCGGCGGCGGCGGCGGCGGCGGGAGGGGGAGGAGGCGGCGGCGGCGGCGAGGAGGCGGUGCCUGUGUCGGCGCUGGAGGUUGUGUCCUUCCUGGGGAAGCUGCUGUGCGCAGUCGCGGUGCUGAAGGCGGCUCUGUACCUGCUCCGCAGAGCGUGUCUAGCGAUGGCCUGGAAGUCGGGAGGCGCCAGCCACUCCGAGCUCAUCCACAAUCUCCGCAAAAAUGGGAUCAUCAAAUCAGACAAGGUAUUUGAAGUGAUGCUGGCUACAGACCGUUGCCACUAUGCAAAAUACAACCCUUAUAUGGAUUCUCCACAGUCUAUAGGUUUCCAAGCAACAAUCAGUGCUCCACAUAUGCAUGCAUAUGCUCUUGAACUUCUGUCUGAUCAGUUACAUGAAGGAGCCAAAGCACUUGAUGUAGGAUCUGGAAGUGGAAUCCUUACAGCAUGCUUCUCACGAAUGGUGGGUCCCAAAGGACAAGUUGUAGGAAUUGAUCAUAUCAAAGAACUAGUAGAUGACUCAAUAAAUAAUGUCAAAAAAGAUGAUCCCACAUUGCUGUCUUCAGGAAGAGUGAAACUGAUUGUGGGAGAUGGAAGAAUGGGAUAUGCAGAAGAAGCUCCCUAUGAUGCAAUUCAUGUAGGAGCAGCAGCACCCGUUGUGCCCCAAGCACUUAUAGAUCAGUUAAAACCUGGCGGAAGAUUGAUAUUGCCAGUUGGCCCUGCAGGGGGAAACCAGAUGCUCGAACAGUAUGACAAACUAGAAGAUGGCAGUGUCAAAAUGAAGCCUCUGAUGGGAGUGAUAUAUGUGCCUUUAACAGAUAAAGAGAAGCAGUGGUCCAGGUGGAAGUGAUUUUCUGUUCCACUUACUUCUUCCACACACACACAAGGUGAAAGGGUGUGAAUUUUAAGCAGAUAGACUGCAAGGCCUGCCUUUGCUGCUGUCAUUGCUUUCUGCUCCAUGCCAUAAGUGACUCAGUCUGCAUUACUACGUCACCAAAAGGAGGUUAUGCUAAGUUUGAGUUAAUUUAAAAGCAGAAGAAAAAUAUUGCAUGUGUUGCACUUUGUCUCUUUCAGACAUAUUUUAUUUAGUCUUUGGUGUGUUGAAGUUUAUUUGUUGUUUUCAACAGAGGGUUGUUUUUUUUUUUUAAUGAAACUUCCCUUUAAUAAACUUUUUAUAAGGAGUUUGCCCAGUAAUCAGGGUAAAGUGUAAAAUACUACUUCAGAAUAAAUAUUGUUUUUUUCCUGUAAGUUAGUGGUAAUUGGGUGUCUUUUUUUUUUUAAUUUUAUUUUUCUGAAAUGUCAAAAAUGAAGAAAAAUCUUUGUAAAGACUUUUGUGAGAAAUACAGAUAAUCUUGCAAGCACUUUUCCCUCAGCCCCAAGUAGCAGAAAGCGGAGAAGGUAAACCCUUUUCCCCUAGAGUAUAUAGUUGAGUAGUGUUUGGAAGUUUUUCUUGGACAUGUUAUUAAAAGUCUGUCAUUGUCUCUGAUGGGGAUAUAUUUGUGUUUGCCAACACAGCAAACUCCAAAGGCCUUUCUAGGGGUAGUAACCCUCCCAGUUUGCUGAAUUGAAUGUCCAAUAACAUAGAUAUAACACAGCUGUCAGCUUAAACCAUACUAGGCAUUAGUAUGCAAAUGAACAAAGCAGCAGUCCUGUUUUGCUUCCUGUCAGAAAGACCUUAUGAAUGUAUUAUCUGUGUAAAUGAAGUGCCUAGAUGUGUACUGAGUUCUGAAAACAGCUCUUGAGCUUUACAACUCCUAUAUUUAGAUUUUGGUUUUGGUUUAUUUCUUUGUUGUGUUGUUUUGUUUUGGGGUUUUUUUGGUGUUUUUUUUCCCCACUUGAUAUUCUGCAGUACAGCUUCUGGUUCUGAUAUGUGAACACUUAGAGUUUAAGCUAUCCAAAUGUUCAUUCAAAGUACAACCAAAGCAGUUUACACUACUGCUGCUUACUGAAACAUCAUUUCAGUGUUUUUUGGAUUACUGUAUAGCCACCAUGUACAAACUACUCUUAGAACGACUUCAAUGAGUUCCUGCUUAGUUUCAAAGCUUGUGAAGCAUGCUCGUUAUUCAGAUGUUUUGUAUUUGUUAUGCAAGUGAAUAUUUUGUCCUCGAAUAUUACCAGUAUUGCCUCAGGGUGGUACUCGGGGGUUUCCUGCCUCUUGUAAGGCUUUGGAAGUUUUGCAUUGUGGUUAGUUUCCUCCUCUUGAAAAUUUAGUGGACUUUAUUCAAGUUUGGAUCCCAUGUGUUCGGCUUACUCUAGAAAAGAGAAGUGUUCUUCUCAAGCCUUUCUUUGUCCAGAGAGGUUUACAGAACUUUUUUCUGAAUUUGCGCCUGAUCUGAUUAUAAUAGCAAUUGUUUUGGUUUUGUUGUUUGAGGUUGUUUUUUUUUUUUCGUAGCAGCAAUGUGUGUUCAAUAAACACAAUUUAUAAGAAGAGUUUCUGGAGUGACAGUGGUUAUCAUUUGCUGCUGCUGAAGGUGGUGUAGUGUAUUAGGGACUAGAAUUCUAAGGUCUUUGCAUCUAUUCUGUGCGAUUUUGUACUCUUUUCUCUGCUAGCUCAGGAAGAAGUAAUACAUUAUCUUUGAGCCUUCUUCAGUCAGGAGUAUUGUAGGGUUCUUUUCUGCAGAUUUUCUUACCAGUUUCUCUUGUUUUCUGAAAUGCUUCUAGGUUUUUAUUUUUAAUUUAAAUGUUAAGAAUAUACACUGAUGUUAUCAGAAGUGCUUAGCCUGAAAAGUGACCUUGAUCACUGCAGUGACACAGAGGCUGUUUCUUCCUAUGUAUGUUUAAAUUUGGUUCUGACUUGGAAAUCUCUGUUAAAGGAAAUCUCAGAAGUCCACUUCUUGUAAUGUUUAUUUCUUCUUUAAUUGUUCUUUUUGUGAUCUGACAAAAAUCCCAUUUCCUUCUCAAGAAUAGCUGCCCUCACUGCUGACCUUACAGGAGUUCGCAUCUGUCUUUGUUGUUUUCCCCUAUUGGUGAGUCCAAAGUGUAUGGUCAACCAGCUGUUGCUAAGGAAAGUCCUAAUCAUAAGUCAACAGUUCUUAUCUAUGCUAGCAUCAAAGAUGAAAGAGGUAUUUUCCUAAUGCAGGUAACUUUCAUGAUGUGAAAUAUUGGUGUCCCUUCACAAAAUACAGUCAAGAGGCCAGCAGUAUUUUCCUAGGCUAGCAGACCUUCCAGUUGGCAAGAAAGAAGGUGCUUAAAUUUUUGCUUAGCCAUUCACAUAUUGGAGAAGUUGGUACCCUUCCUUACUGGGCUGCAAGGCGCUCUUUACAAAUGAGCGCAGCAGUGACUUGAUCUCCAGGUGGUGUUUGAGGUCAAACCUACCUUCAGAUGUUUUGUGUCAUUCAUCACUAUAUAAAACUGGAACUUUGAGUAAAAGAAAAUCAGGACUAGCUGGAAAGAAAAGACUCCUUGGAUUUCAAUAAAUUGAUGUGGUGUUAAAUAAAGAAUCUCAUUUUGUAAAUAUUGUGGACUAAAAGAAAUUCAGUAACUUUCUAGCUUGGGUUCAGCUGUAGAAAUAUUAGUGUCAAUCUUCUCAAAUGUGACUUCAUGGGACAUUUGGAAGUAGAAUAUACAAAGGAACCCUAUCUGAUACAAAAUUAAGUGCAUUAAUAUACCAGAGAUCCAGCAGUAGGUAGAUCCUACUCAUGUGAUUAUGCUGGUACACAUGUUUAUACUUUCGCAUAAAACUUCCCAAUAUUUAUUUUUUUCCUUGCUGGUAAGUAGGGAGGAGAUAAGACCUUUUGUGCUGCACAGUUGAGAAGACAACUUACUGGCUACCUUAUUGGUAGUUCUUGUGUGAAUUGACAUCUCUCUGGUUCUCCUUCUCAGAGAGUUCACUUACUACUUAUAUGGAAAGAUGAUUUAAAGAAUCAUAGAAUUAUUUAGAUUGGAAAAGACCUUCAAGAUCAUCAGUUCCAACCAUUAACCCAGCAUGGACGGGUCCACCACUAAACUGUGUUCCUAAGCACCACACUUACACAUCUCUUUUCACAUACCUCCAGCGAUGGUGACUCAAGCACUUCCCUGGGCAGCCUGUUCAGUGCUUGACAGUCCUUUCAAUGAAGACAUUUUUCAUCAUAUCAGAUCUAAACCUCUCCUGGCACAGCUUGAGGUGAUUGCCACUUGUUACUUGAGAGAAGAGACCAACACCCACCUCACUACAACCUCCUUUGAGGUAGCUGUAGAGGGUGAUGAGUUCUCCCCUGAACUUCCUUCUCUCCAGACUAAACAAUCCCAGUUCCCUCAGCUGCUCUGUAUCAGACUUGUGCUCCAGACCCUUCACCAGCUUCAUUGCCCUUUUCUGGACUUGCUCCAGCACCUCAAUGUCUUUCUUGUAGUGAGGGGCCCAGAACUGAACAUAUGAUUUGAGGUGUGGCCUCACCAGUGCUGAGUACAGGCAGAGUGAUCACUGCCCUGGCCCUGUUGGCUAUGCUAUUUCUGAUACAAAGAGAAAUAAGAGAGUAACAGCAUAAGGAACACUUAGCAAUGAGUCUGUGUUGCAAUUCUUGAUGAUUUUUUCAAACAGCUGUUUAAAAAUGUUAUCAGACUACUUUUUUAAACUUAGAAUAUUGCAUUAGUAGGAAUUAUUUGUAGAUGUCAUGUUAAAUUCGUAUUUGCUGAUAAAAUAAAAAUAUCAGUAUUAACCUUUCAGCAAAAACUGCAGAGACUAGACUGGGGCUGUUACUGUAUCCUGCUUAUCUAUACAUACAACAUGUUUAAGCACCCUUUUGGAAAAACUAUCUAUUAAGAAAUAUUUAAAUACAUUUCUGCUUAGAAACUUACUCUGUGUUUUGAACAUUGCUAAUGAGGUAGUUGUCUAAUUUCAAUUAAAAUUAGCAAGAAUCGUUUGCCUCAAAUUCCUUAGAGUAAUGAUUAUGAUUAAAGCUUUUAUUUUACUUUGGCAAAAAGAAUCUCUGCACAAUAAUAUUUGGGGUUAAAUUUAGAGUUUAUGUAUAAUGUACAAAUGCACGUGAUGUAACUGACAGAAUAGGUUGCAGAGAAGAUUCCUUUUCUUUUGUCAUUUCAACCUACUCUCUCAAUUUGAUGAUUGAUCAUAGCAAAUAAUAAAUACUUUAUAACAGCACUUUUUCAGAUUAAAAUGCUACAAGUCUAAAUAUUGCAUUUAGUUACCUUUAAAAUCACAAAGGGAGAAAAAAAUCAGCUGCUGAAACACUGAAUAGCUCCUGAAAUGGAGUGUAGCCUCAUGAAUUAGAAAUACAGUAUCAGUAAUGGCAGCAUAUUUUUCAUAGAUGAGUGAUGUAUCCAAAAGGGAAAGUCAAAUGCUGCCUAAUGACAAGAAAAUUGAAGUGGAUAAAAAAGAGGAUGAAUUGUAAAAGCUACAUCAUCUUGACCCAAACAUAGUGUUACAGUGGACUGCUCAUCUCCAGUUCUAAAAGCUUUUUGAAAACCAACAGCAUUGCAGCUUGUUUUGGACUUCAUUCUACUGUUAUCAGCAUGGAAAAGCGUGGUGUUUGUUUUAUUUUUUUAGCUGCUCAAGGCAAAUCUGACAAAGAAAUGGCGGAAAGUUUUACUGGGCACUGUUUUAUUUAACAUGCCUUUAUUUUACUUUCAUCUGUUCAAAGUGAAUUUCUGCAAAACUGCAGAUCAAGACCUACAGCUUGUGAACUCUAAUUUUGAAGGGGGUACUUGAACACUCACUUCUCUUGGCUCCUGUGUCCCUUGAUAAAACUGCUUCUGUGCACCUUACACUACGUAGGCAAUACCAGGUUUUCUGUCUUCCAAUGUCUGCUAGAUGCUACUAAAAGGAGAUGAACUUCCUUUUUAAGCUUUUGACAUGGUGUCAUAGACUAGCAUGUAGUAGAUACAAUCAGCUGCUUUAUUACCUUAAAACCAGGCAUUUGUAUAUAUAUUAAACUUCACAACAUCAGAGGUGGGUGGCCACUCUUAUCGAACAUGGCUGUUCAAGUUGGACACAACAGGUGUGUUGUAAUCCUUCUAAAAUUAAUCAGUGGAGUCUUGAAAUUCCGUUUUGGUUUAUAGCUCACUACUAGUGAGAUACACAUGGACUUAACACCGUAGAUAUGAUGUAAGCUGUGUCCCAAUCACUGAACAGUUUACACAAUGCUGCUUUGCCAAAUAAAGGUAAAAGCAAGAGGGAGGUUGUGUGCUUGUGUGGAAGACUAGGAUCAGUAUGUAGCAGAAUACCGAGAUAGGGAUUGCUAGAUUCUUUAUUAAAAAACCAAACCAACUCCAGUUUGGUUCUAAAGGAAAGUUGCUUUUGGCAAAGCCAUUUGCUCUGUUAAUGUUCUCAUUUUUCUAACUGUGGGCACCCAGGAAAAAUUCUGGCUUUUUAGAAGAUGAAUUUUAAUUGCCACACAAGGAAACCAUGAUACAUGCAGGAGGAACAAUGAACCCUGGACUUGUAAGUACAGAUAGAUUGGCAAUUGUUCACUUUUGGAAGGCUAUAAACCUUUUUUUUUUCUGCCUCAAGUUUUCUGUUUCAGUGCUGUAACUGUCAACAGCAAAUGGCAAAGCAGUGCCAUAAGGUGGGCUGCUUUGGGAAGGGGGGAAGUGGAUCUUGAGUCAUCUUCUCAGAUUUGAGCAACCAGGAAUUAAAGUAAACAGCAUGUUAUCAUUAUUUUCUUUUUUUAAUGGUAGAAAGGAUUAUAGACUAAAAUAACUUGCAUAAAAGAACCCAGAGUGAUCACUGCAAAAAUAUAUUGACUUUUUAUGGUGGAACAGCAAUGAUUUUGUGACAAGAUUAAUCCCUGAAAGCAUAAAGGUUGAAAUUCAAAGGCCUCUGAAUAUGAAAGAGGAACAUUUUAAAUAACCUUCCUUUUGAAGGCAGAUCCCGUCCUAUUCCUGUGUAAAAGAUAUGUAUUGCUUAAUAUAUUUAGAUGUUGGGAAGUUAAUGUACCACCUCCUGACCCAACGGCAGCCUGGGAGCACACGCACGAGGUUAAUCUUGCAAAGGAAUUAAUAUAGUGUGUAUUCUAGACAAUACAAUUCAGAAAACCCCACUUGCGUCUGACAAAUUUGUACUAACCCACAAUCAACUGUGAAUCUAGUUCUUGGUGUUGAAGUGAAAUAUCUUAAAUGAUGCAUGCAUGCUAAUGUUCAACCUUUUGGUCACUGUAUCACUCGGUUUGAGUUCAGCUUUAUUUACAUCUCCUCACUAAUUUAAUCAGUUAAAUGAAAGAUACGAGCUCAACUGUAUCCAAAUUCUUGUCUCUGGACACAGUGUGAUAAGCUAGCCUACCCUUGGAAGAGGUGAUACAGCUGAGACCCAGCAACAGCUUCUUUGGGGGAGAACCACUUCAGGGACCAAGGCUGUUGGGAUUAGUGCAGCCCUUCCACUGAAGGGGGUGCUGAUAGUCAAGGUACUUGGACAGAAAAGGAUUAUCCAGGAGUAACACUUAGGAAUUGGAGAAGGAAAGCCCCUUCAUGAUGGAGCAAUGGUUCUGAAGUAAAAACUUGGAGAAGAGGACAAACUGAAAUGCAGAAGAUUUGAAAAGCUUGAAUAAAUGCUGUGUGAACUGUCUGAAUUGCUACUUUGCCAAAUAAAACAAACUGAGAGGAAGCUGUA